AAACGAUCAAUCAUCAAUGGGCAUCUCUGAAUCAUCUUCCGCGAAUCCUUGCUUUGCUUUCUCCAACAGGUCUGUUUUCCAAUUUCUACUAGAAAUACUUGUAGAACAUGAAUGUUAAAAGCUUCAUGGAGUUAAUUGCAAAGCAUUUUCUCAGAACGAAUUGGAAGAUCUGAUAUCACUCUUCACAUCACUUGCAGCUCAGUCUCAUACCAACGGAAAAUAUGUGACUCCCUCCAUUUUCAAGGUCCCAUUAAUUUCUUCGACGCCUUAAUCGUGACCAAUCUUAAAUUUCAUGGUAUAAUUUAGGUGGGUUAUAUAUGAUUCCUGUUUUUAUGUCCGAAUAUGUGUUAAUAGGCUUAUAUUGGAAUUGAUGGGCCUCUUAGGGAUCGGAUGUCCAGCUUGAUGACGCAUAAACUCAAGGAUCAAAUGCUCAGUUUUGAGGACUCGUUAUUGCCGAAGUUAGCUCACUUUUUCUUUUCUUUUUUUAACUAUUAACUUUUGAAGCACCAUGUUUACUAUUAGUCGAACUUAUAUGUUGAGUGUGUAAUUUUAACAUUUUAUUUUGAGGGGGGUAUUUAACGAUUAAUCAAUUAAAUUACUUUCUG
rnacentral:lncRNA from 1 species